rnacentral:rRNA from 1 species
AUUGAACGCUGGCGGCAGGCCUAACACAUGCAAGUCGAACGAGUGGCGGACGGGUGAGUAAUGUCUGGGACACUGCCUGAUGGAGGGGGAUAACUACUGGACACUGUAGCUAAUACCGCAUACCAUCAGAUUUGCCCAGAUGGGUUUAGCUUGUUGGUGGGGUAACGGCUCACCUAGGCGACGAUCCCUAGCUGGUCUGAGAGGAAGACCAGCCACACUGGAACUGAGACACGGGCCAGACUCCUACGGGAGGCAGCAGUGGGGAAUAUUGCACAAUGGGCGAAAGCCUGAUGCAGCCAUGCCGCGUGUAUGAAGAAGGCCUUCGGGUUGUAAAGUACUUUCAGCGGGGAGGCGUUACCCGCAGAAGAAGCACCGGCUAACUCCGUGCCAGCAGCCGCGGUAAUUC